rnacentral:rRNA from 1 species
CAGUCGCCGCGGGAAUACGUAGGUCCCGAGCGUUGUCCGGAUUUAUUGGGCGUAAAGCGAGCGCAGGCGGUUAGAUAAGUCUGAAGUUAAAGGCUGUGGCUUAACCAUAGUACGCUUUGGAAACUGUUUAACUUGAGUGCAAGAGGGGAGAGUGGAAUUCCAUGUGUAGCGGUGAAAUGCGUAGAUAUAUGGAGGAACACCGGUGGCGAAAGCGGCUCUCUGGCUUGUAACUGACGCUGAGGCUCGAAAGCGUGGGGAGCAAACAGGAUUAGAUACCCCGGUAGUCCCUGUCUCUUAUACA